AUGUAUGCGACCCUAAAGACCAUGGCUUCACCCUAUUCUUUUCCAAAGGAUAAGGCGACGAAACAAGCAAUGGCCUCGUCUCGCAGCUUGGCUCUGGCGCUCCUCUUCAGCCUCCUCUCACUCUCUUGCUAUGCAUCCGUCCCUUCCUUAGCUUCCUCCGACGGCUUCCUCCGAUGCCUCUCGGCGGCCAUACCCAAGCAGCUGUUAUACACGCAGACCUCGCCUUCGUUCACCUCGGUCCUGGUGUCCUCCAUCCGGAACCCCAAGUUCUCCACGCCUAGCACGGUGAAGCCGCUGUGCAUCGUCACGCCGACCAACUCCUCCCACGUCCAGGCCGCCGUGGUCUGCGGCCGUCGGAACGACGUGCGCCUCCGCGUGCGCAGCGGCGGGCACGACUACGAGGGCCUCUCGUACCGGUCCGCACGACCCGAGGUGUUCGCGGUGGUCGACCUGGCCAACCUCCGCUCCGUGCGCGUUGACCAGAAGGCGGCCACCGCGUGGGUGGACUCCGGCGCGACGCUCGGGGAGCUGUACUACGCCAUCUCGAAGGCGAGCAAGCUGCUAGCUUUCCCGGCCGGCCUGUGCCCGACGAUCGGCGUGGGCGGGCAUUUCAGCGGCGGCGGGUUUGGCAUGCUGCUGCGCAAGUACGGCGUCGCCAUCGACAACGUCCUGGACGCCACGCUUGUUGACGCCAAAGGGAGGCUCCUGGACAAGCAGGCCAUGGGGACGGACGUGUUCUGGGCCAUCCGCGGCGGCGGCGGCGAGAGCUUCGGCAUCGUGCUCUCGUGGAAGGUGAAGCUCGUUCCCGUCCCGCCGACAGUGACAAUGUUCAGCGUCACAAAGUCUGUCGACGAGGGCGCCGUAGACAUCCUCACCAGAUGGCAAGCGGUCGCCCCAGCUCUCCCCGAAGAUCUUUUCAUCAGGGUGCUCGCGCAGAAACAGGUGGCCAACUUCCAGGCCAUGUACCUGGGGACACCCGGGAUGCUGCUGCCGCUGAUGCGCAGCCGCUUCCCGGAGCUCGGCCUGAACCGGACGCACUGCAAGGAGAUGACGUGGAUCCAGUCGGUGCCGUACAUCUACCUGGGCAGCGCCGCCACCGUGGAGGACAUCCUGAACCGGACCACCGCCACGAGGUCCUUCAGCAAGGCCACGUCCGACUACGUCCGUCAGGCCAUUCCCAAAGACGUCUGGGUGAAGAUCUUCGCCUGGCUCGCCAAGCCGGACGCCGGGCUCAUGAUCAUGGACCCUUACGGCGGGAAGAUCGGCAGCCUCCCGGAGUCGGCGACGCCGUUCCCGCACCGUGGCGGGGUGCUGUACAACAUCCAGUACAUGAAUUUCUGGUCGGCCGCCACGGACGGAUCGGCGCAGACGAGGUGGCUCAGAGAGUUUUUCGCGUUCGUGGGGCCGUACGUGAGCAACAACCCCAGAGAGGCGUAUGUGAACUACAGGGACCUUGACCUGGGCCAGAAUGUGGUUGUGGGGAACGUCACCAGCUACCAGGCCGGUAAGGUAUGGGGCGAGAAGUACUUCAAGGGUAACUUUCGGAGGCUCGCGGUGGCCAAGGGCAAGGUGGAUCCCGACGACUACUUUAGGAACGAGCAGACCAUCCCACCACUAGUGGCGACGAAGUAA
rnacentral:rRNA from 1 species